rnacentral:pre_miRNA from 1 species
CACCAUUACCAGUUGAAGCUGCCAGCAUGAUCUCAACUUUCUACCUCGUCGUAAGAAGAUCAGAUCAUGUGGUAGCUUCACCCGUUGAUGGG